UACGUAGGGUGCGAGCGUUGUCCGGAAUUAUUGGGCGUAAAGAGCUCGUAGGCGGUCUGUCGCGUCUGCUGUGAAAACCCGAGGCUCAACCUCGGGCCUGCAGUGGGUACGGGCAGGCUAGAGUGCGGUAGGGGAGAAUGGAACUCCUGGUGUAGCGGUGGAAUGCGCAGAUAUCAGGAAGAACACCGAUGGCGAAGGCAGUUCUCUGGGCCGAUACUGACGCUGAGGAGCGAAAGCGUGGGGAGCGAACAGG
rnacentral:rRNA from 1 species